rnacentral:rRNA from 1 species
UUCAGUCGCAUGGCAUAGACCCGAAACCAGAUGAGCUAACCAUGGCCAGGCUGAAGGUGUGGUAACACACACUGGAGGGCCGAACCUACUGGUGUUGCAAAACCAGAGGAUGAGCUGUGGUUAGGGGUGAAAGGCUUAACAAAUCUGGAGAUAGCUGGUUCUCCCCGAAAACUAUUGAGGUAGUGCCUUGCGCAUGAGCUUCUGGGGGUAGAGCACUGUUAUAGCUAGGGGGACAUGGCGUCUUACCAAACUAUGGCAAACUCCGAAUACCAGAAAGCUUCGCGCGGGAGACAGAGCACCGGGUGCUAACGUCCGGACUCAAAAGGGAAUCAACCCAGACCGCCAGCUAAGGUCCCUAAUAUCAGCUAAGUGGAAAACGAAGUGGAAAGGCUAAAACAGUCAGGAAGUUGGCUUAGAAGCAGCCAUCCUUCAAAGAAAGCGUAAUAGCUCACUGAUCGAGUCCUUCCGCGCGGAAGAUGUAACGGGGCUAAGUUGAUAACCGAAGCUGCGGAUUCAUACUUUGAGUAUGAGUGGUAGGGGAGCGUUCUGUAAGCCUGUGAAGGUGGAUCGUAAGGUCUGCUGGAGGUAUCAGAAGUGCGAAUGCUGACAUGAGUAACGAUAAAGCGGGUGAAAAGCCCGCUCGCCGCAAACCCAAGGUUUCCUGCUCUACGUUAAUCGGAGCAGGGUGAGUCGGUUCCUAAGGCCAGGCUGAGAAGCGUAGCUGAUGGAAAUCAGGUUAAUAUUCCUGAACCGGCGUUGAAUGCGAUGGGGUGACGGAGCAGCCAGAGUGGACCGGGUGUUGGAUGUCCCGGCUUCCGAGCGAUGGGUGCCUGCAGGCAAAUCCGCAGGCGUAUACCCAGGACGAAGGAUCGGGCCUUCUUUUGAAGGCGAAGCCACUGGAAGCGCUUCCAGGAAAAACCUCUAAGCUUCAGUUCAACGGCGACCGUACCGUAAACCGACACAGGUGGGUGAGCUGAAUAUGCUCAGGCGCUUGAGAGAACUCGGGAGAAGGAACUCGGCAAAUUGACACCGUAACUUCGGAAGAAGGUGUGCCUUUGUAGCUUGACGGGAGAGAAACCCGGAGGGCGAAGAGGUCUCAGAGAAUCGGUGGCUGUAACUGUUUACUAAAAACACAGCGCUCUGCAAAGAUGAAAGUCGACGUAUAGGGCGUGAUGCCUGCCCGGUGCUGGAAGAUUAAUUGAUGGGGUGCAAGCUCCUGAUCGAAGUCCCAGUAAACGGCGGCCGUAACUAUAACGGUCCUAAGGUAGCGAAAUUCCUUGUC